UACGGGGGGGGCAAGCGUUGUUCGGAAUUACUGGGCGUAAAGGGCUCGUAGGCGGCCAACUAAGUCAGACGUGAAAUCCCUCGGCUUAACCGGGGAACUGCGUCUGAUACUGGAUGGCUUGAGUUUGGGAGAGGGAUGCGGAAUUCCAGGUGUAGCGGUGAAAUGCGUAGAUAUCUGGAGGAACACCGGUGGCGAAGGCGGCAUCCUGGACCAACACUGACGCUCAGGCGCGAAAGCUAGGGGAGCGAACAGG
rnacentral:rRNA from 1 species